rnacentral:lncRNA from 10 species
UUCCUGUUCUCUCUCUUCUGAAAAACACAUUAAUUCACUACAACAAUUUACCCAUAAAACUAUAAUCAUUAACUGCCUUUCCUUUAUUGAACUCUAGAGCUUUGGCUUUAUAAUUCUAUUUGGCCUGUAUAUGCAGGAAGAGUAUUGAAAUGGUCUAUAUUUAUUUCUUCUCUCUGACAUAGAUGGAAACAGUCAGAGUGACUCUACACACUUCCUGCUUCCACGUUUAGCAUCCCCAAGUGAAGAGAUAUGAAGAGUGUUCAAAAGAUGCUACAAAAUGUUUAGUUUUCAACUCUCCAGAGGAAGCUGACAUGGCAACACUCUGUUAUUUGAAGAUUUGAGUUUUCCUACUACAAGGAAGAAGUUGUAACUUCUGACUUAGUAUGAGGUUCAAGCCAGAUGGAUCAUGUGAUGCAGUCUUGUCAAUGAAAACAGGAAGACAUUUCUCAAGAUUAGAAUGGUCCUGGAACAAAAAAUUGCCUUACCAAGUAAUCAGUGCCUACUAUUGGAUGUAUUCAGAUGUUUCAAGCAUGUAUGAUGGAGUUUGAUCACAUGACUACUGUGAAGGCCAAGCACUCAACAACAACCAGUUGGUGUCUGAGGAGAAUUGGAUUGGUCUAUGAUCACCAUUUUGCCAACAACUACAUGAACAAAUAUUUGGACUUGUUUUCACAACAGCAAAUUAUCUCUUCAAAUUACCCUCCAAUUUACACUUGUGUUACUAGAUUGUCUUUUUGCACAAAUAAUAAUGGCUUCAACCACUAAAAUCAAAAGCAAAAGUAGGCAAAAGCUUAGUUUUAUUAAUGCUAAGACAGAAAUGUUAAUUACAGAGGAUAUUGAAAUAUAAAAGACCUCCCUUUGCUGUCUCCAAUCCCUUUUGAACUUCUCAGGGGUUUAAAUACAGUGUGUGUUUGGCAGACAUUCAUGUCUGGAAAAUGAAGAAAAGGGAAAAAAUACUACACCAAAAUAAAAUCUCGAACUCAGUAACCAACACUAAUCUUCAUCAUUCAUGGAAGAAGACUUUCUUUUUGGAAAAAAAUAUUUUAGGAGGUCCACAUUCAAUUCAAAGUUAAUGUUUUUAGAAAAUAAGUAGUUUUAUCAUCAUGAAACAUUUCAUGAUACACUUCAUGAAAAAUUUCAUGACACAUUAAAUCAUUAACCUGAAAAGAUAUUGUUCACUACUAUUCUUUCUGGUUAGAGAAGCAAUGGAUUAAUAUAAAAUCAAACAGAUAGAGAUACAUAUCCAUACAAGUUUUAAAAAGUGUGAUGUUUUAUGAAGGAUAUAGUGAAAUAAAUGGUUUAGAUUUUGUUCAAUUGAAUUUUGAAAUAACUGAAAAAUGCAUUCAUGUAAAAGGAUAAAAAGGAAAAUACUAUGUCAAAUGAUUUUAAUUGCCUCUAGUGUUCUGACAAACCGCAAUGAAUUAAAAAUUACAUGCAUUUUGAUGGUAUUGAGUAUUCAAAUUAAGAAAUAAGAAUGUUCACCAACAGGAAUCCAAAUUCAUGUAACUAUAAAAAGUAUAGAACAGCUAUUGUUCCACAUAAAAGAAAUUUCUAAAAUUAUAAAUAGUACCAAUAUGCUGUUCACAAUUCAUGAUACUUGUAGUUCAGUCCAGUUCUUUCCAUGGCCUACAAGGCCCUAUGUGGUGUACUUUGCAUGUGCUCUAGCCUCUUCUCCACUUCCUUCCUCCAGUUCUCCAUGCUCCACUCUAAUGUGCCUUCUCUCCAUUUUUCAGACACACCGAGAUCAGCUCUCUCCCUUGGAACAUUUGGCUCUUUCUUUUGCCUAGAGAAUAGGACUCACAAUCUUGUAAUGGCUGGCAUCUUGUCAUUGGAUCUCAGUUCAAAGGAGACUUCCUUGACUAUUCAAUCUAAAUUGGCCCUGUCUCCCCACAUCAUUUUCUGGUCUUUCUUAUUUUCUUCUCACAAUUAAAUCCACCUGAUUUCACCAUAGUUAUAAUGUAUUAACAUCUGCCUUCUCCUCCCAGAUUUAAGUUCCCUGAGAGCAGUUUUGUUAUCUGGCUUGUUCACAAAUUUAGUAUUAGUAAUAGAAGAGUGCCUGGCAAAGCGUCAAUUUAAAUCAAUAUUUGUUAAAUGAAAGAAUAAAAUAAUAAGUAAAUAAACAUCACCUCAGUAUUUUUUCCAUCCAAAACAUCUACUUUAUCAGAAAACUAUGGAAAUAUAAUUAUCAUUACCUCAGCCUCUCUUAGUCACCACUUACACAUUUAAUAGCAAUUUUCAAUGACCAUUUAUUUGAUUAACCUGGUUUGUCACAUUUGCGUUUGGUCUUACUGUACAAUUACAAGAUAAUGCUACUUUACUUUCAAUAAGGAGUCUAUCUAUUCAUAUGACUUUCUAAUUUAUAUUUCUAAAAGUAACUUAGAUUAAAAAGUAGGAGCUAAAUUCAAUUAUAUAACAAAAUUAAUGACUUUGCUUCAAAGAACUUCAUCUUGGAAAAUAUUUUGUGUUACCUAUAAAAUAAUCUAGCUAUAAAAUUAUUUUAAAAUUCAUUACAAAGUUUUGAUAAAAAGUAUAAAGCAUAUUGAACUAAGUGUAUUAGAGAAAAAGUUUUCACAUAGUGUUUUAAGAGCCAGGCUCACAAAAUCCAAUUAUGCUAAGUUUGCGUAUUAAACAAAGCACUGAAUAUUUUUAAGCGCUACAUUAAAUUUCAAAGAGAAAACUUUCUUGAAUAAGAAAAAAGAAAAAACUCUUUUAGGUGAAAAAUAUUAAUAUUUCACAAGUACAUUUUAGAAACUUUUAAAUAGAGUAGAUUGUAUUUCUCUCCACCCACACUUAAAUAUAGACAUGCAUCUUUUUUACCUUAUAAUACAUUCAUAUGUAUUUAAUACAAAUUAUGCACAUCUUUUUAAAUAUAAAUAAAAAUUAUAUUUCGAGAAUAUUAUGUAUAUUUUUGAAAUGAAAAUUUUUUCCAGGGUUCGUAGCCUUUCAUCAUUAGCAUAAUUCCUCUAAUUGACAUUCUGCAUUUCUUAGAUUUUCAUACUUAUUUACUGAAUUAGUUAUUACAUUGCACUCUUAACUGUCAGGCACUGUUCUAGUACACUGAGGGACAAGGCAAAGUUCCCUACACUAAAAACAUUCAUAAUGAUUUCAGCAAUAAUCUCAAUUAUUAAGAAAGUUAAAUGCUAAAUUUUAAUCUCAGAUUUUAUUUUAAACUAGUUAUAGUUAGUGAGCAAUAGUUUCCACUAUUAGUAUAGUAUAAGCAACAAUAUUACAGCAGAAUGUGCCACAUCAAAGCUGUCAAUAAUAAAGUUAAUACAGAGUCAUGCCAGUGUUGAGCAAAUAGUAGACACUCACUAAAGAUGUAUUGAAGAGAUGAAUGAAUAAAAUAUCUCAAAACCAACAGGUCAUUUUAUAUCUUUACUGGAUUUGCAAUCAAUUGUUGGAAAACAUGCUUUUUAAAGAAAUGUCCCAUGUUAGCUGAUAAUUUGUAAGUAUCCAUUUCAAAUGCACGCAUGUUAAAAAAUUGUGAUGUUCUUUUAUAUUAAAAAUAUAAUUUCUCUACAUGCGAAAUCACUAUUAAAGGGUUUCUUCUUCACUGUAAAUUAUGCUUGAAUUGGCCUGCAGAAUCAAAAAUAUCUGUGCUCCUGUUCUCUAAAACCCAGAGAGCAGUGCAAAGCCAGCUGGCAGAACCUGCUGGCUGUCUGCCAUUCUUGUCUGAGGUUGCAAUGCAGUCCUAGGGGAAAAAACAAUCAUGAAUUCUAUCUAACUAGGGCCAUAGAAUGGCAUUUGUUUCUUGAUGGAUUGUUGGUCUAUUACUAAGACAAACUAGAUUAAAGCCAUUCAACUACUACUUUCUGUGACUCUGGGAAGAUCAGAGGGCUAAGGAAGUUUUGAAAAUAGGGAUUAUGUUGUUUGUAAUUCUUUGACACAAUGAUAAAAUAACCAAAAGGAAAGUAAAUGUUCAAGCACCAACUUGCUAUUUUGACUCUUAAUUUUUCCCCCUCAAAUUGACAGAAUAGUUUUGGCAUGGUAUAGGGACAACCUAUCUAAGAUAACAACAAGGCAAAACAAUAAUAAUUUUGCCAGGCAUCGUUCCAAGAGUAUUGAUAUUUAUUAAGUCACUCUAAUCCUCAAAAUAAGUCUAUGAGGCAGUGCUAGUCUUAUUCCAAUUUUACAGAUAAGACAAAUGAGACACUGAGUUUAAGUAAUUUGCUCAACAUUCUACAGUUAUUAUGUAGCAAGGGCAAAUAUCUGAAUUCAGAAAAUGCAUUUUCAACUGUAUAGACUUGCAAUUUCAGACAUUCAAGCGUUUAUGAAUGCCUUAAGUUUUAUUUAGUAAUUAGGAGUUUUGGUUAGUGAGGUUUUUCAUCUGAGAUGUUUCACCCUUUAGGAGCUAAAGGUGAGGAAGGCUGCCUAAACCCAAGCUCUGGGUGGCCCUUAUAUUUGGUUCAUGUCCUAACUUGGGAGUUUCAGCUCUGCUCAGGCAGAGGUGCUGUGUACACUAACUUCAUGAAAUAAAAACCAACAAAGGCAUCAGAGGCUUGGCACUAUAUUCUCUAAUGAACAUAAUAUUUCAAAACCACUGGAAAAAGAAUGCCUCCAAAUUUUAAAUUACCAGUACAAACUUAUCAAUAGGUUAAUUGUGAUUUUGAUGAGCAUUUGAAAUGGUAGAUGUAAAGCCCUAGCAUAGGCUCUGCCUGUAGCACUUAAUAAGUUAUAUAUAGAUCCUUGUUAGCAUUAUUGAGCAUAUCAGCAUAUGAAAUCUAAUUUGUAUCAGUGUGAAACCAUCAUCUGACUAUUCAUUUUAAAGGAUCAGGAUAAAGUCUCACAUAUGUCUCUGUACAACAGUCUCGGGCUGUCAUUGUUUAGGCUUGCAGAAUUUAUGUAAUGAUGAAGAUCCACUUUUAGGUUUGGACAGUAUUUGAGCCUAAUUUGUUAAACAAAACAAAACAAAACAAAACAAUCUAGCUUCUGGUCACUGAAAAUUUAAUCCUACAAGGAUAGUUUACUGGGUAAUAUUCCCAUGUCUGUAUCUUUGAACCACAGAGAAAGAAAAGUUGCUUUUCUUUUAUGCUCAAAAAUCAUUAAAAGUAUCCUGGUAUUUGACAUUUUUAAAGAUAAAUUAGGCUGAAUAUUUUCUAAGUGUUAUUUUUA